rnacentral:rRNA from 1 species
UUAAGUUAUUAAGGGCGCACGGUGGAUGCCUUGGCACUAGAAGCCGAUGAAGGACGUUACUAACGACGAUAUGCUUUGGGGAGCUGUAAGUAAGCUUUGAUCCAGAGAUUUCCGAAUGGGGAAACCCAGCAUGAGUUAUGUCAUGUUAUCGAUAUGUGAAUACAUAGCAUAUCAGAAGGCACACCCGGAGAACUGAAACAUCUUAGUACCCGGAGGAAGAGAAAGAAAAUUCGAUUCCCUUAGUAGCGGCGAGCGAAACGGGAAGAGCCCAAACCAACAAGCUUGCUUGUUGGGGUUGUAGGACACUCUGUACGGAGUUACAAAGGACGACAUUAGACGAAUCAUCUGGAAAGAUGAAUCAAAGAAGGUAAUAAUCCUGUAGUCGAAAAUGUUGUCUCUCUUGAGUGGAUCCUGAGUACGACGGAGCACGUGAAAUUCCGUCGGAAUCUGGGAGGACCAUCUCCUAAGGCUAAAUACUCUCUAGUGACCGAUAGUGAACCAGUACCGUGAGGGAAAGGUGAAAAGCACCCCGGAAGGGGAGUGAAAUAGAACCUGAAACCGUGUGCUUACAAGUAGUCAGAGCCCGUUAAUGGGUGAUGGCGUGCCUUUUGUAGAAUGAACCGGCGAGUUACGAUUUGAUGCAAGGUUAAGCAGUAAAUGUGGAGCCGUAGCGAAAGCGAGUCUGAAUAGGGCGUUUAGUAUUUGGUCGUAGACCCGAAACCAGGUGAUCUACCCUUGGUCAGGUUGAAGUUCAGGUAACACUGAAUGGAGGACCGAACCGACUUACGUUGAAAAGUGAGCGGAUGAACUGAGGGUAGCGGAGAAAUUCCAAUCGAACCUGGAGAUAGCUGGUUCUCUCCGAAAUAGCUUUAGGGCUAGCCUCAAGUGAUGAUUAUUGGAGGUAGAGCACUGUUUGGACGAGGGGCCCCUCUCGGGUUACCGAAUUCAGACAAACUCCGAAUGCCAAUUAAUUUAACUUGGGAGUCAGAACAUGGGUGAUAAGGUCCGUGUUCGAAAGGGAAACAGCCCAGACCACCAGCUAAGGUCCCAAAAUAUAUGUUAAGUGGAAAAGGAUGUGGCGUUGCCCAGACAACUAGGAUGUUGGCUUAGAAGCAGCCAUCAUUUAAAGAGUGCGUAAUAGCUCACUAGUCGAGUGACACUGCGCCGAAAAUGUACCGGGGCUAAACAUAUUACCGAAGCUGUGGAUUGUCCUUUGGACAAUGGUAGGAGAGCGUUCUAAGGGCGUUGAAGCAUGAUCGUAAGGACAUGUGGAGCGCUUAGAAGUGAGAAUGCCGGUGUGAGUAGCGAAAGACGGGUGAGAAUCCCGUCCACCGAUUGACUAAGGUUUCCAGAGGAAGGCUCGUCCGCUCUGGGUUAGUCGGGUCCUAAGCUGAGGCCGACAGGCGUAGGCGAUGGAUAACAGGUUGAUAUUCCUGUACCACCUAUAAUCGUUUUAAUCGAUGGGGGGACGCAGUAGGAUAGGCGAAGCGUGCGAUUGGAUUGCACGUCUAAGCAGUAAGGCUGAGUAUUAGGCAAAUCCGGUACUCGUUAAGGCUGAGCUGUGAUGGGGAGAAGACAUUGNGUCUUCGAGUCGUUGAUUUCACACUGCCGAGAAAAGCCUCUAGAUAGAAAAUAGGUGCCCGUACCGCAAACCGACACAGGUAGUCAAGAUGAGAAUUCUAAGGUGAGCGAGCGAACUCUCGUUAAGGAACUCGGCAAAAUGACCCCGUAACUUCGGGAGAAGGGGUGCUCUUUAGGGUUAACGCCCAGAAGAGCCGCAGUGAAUAGGCCCAAGCGACUGUUUAUCAAAAACACAGGUCUCUGCUAAACCGUAAGGUGAUGUAUAGGGGCUGACGCCUGCCCGGUGCUGGAAGGUUAAGAGGAGUGGUUAGCUUCUGCGAAGCUACGAAUCGAAGCCCCAGUAAACGGCGGCCGUAACUAUAACGGUCCUAAGGUAGCGAAAUUCCUUGUCGGGUAAGUUCCGACCCGCACGAAAGGCGUAACGAUUUGGGCACUGUCUCAACGAGAGACUCGGUGAAAUCAUAGUACCUGUGAAGAUGCAGGUUACCCGCGACAGGACGGAAAGACCCCGUGGAGCUUUACUGUAGCCUGAUAUUGAAAUUCGGCACAGCUUGUACAGGAUAGGUAGGAGCCUUUGAAACGUGAGCGCUAGCUUACGUGGAGGCGCUGGUGGGAUACUACCCUAGCUGUGUUGGCUUUCUAACCCGCACCACUUAUCGUGGUGGGAGACAGUGUCAAGCGGGCAGUUUGACUGGGGCGGUCGCCUCCUAAAAGGUAACGGAGGCGCUCAAAGGUUCCCUCAGAAUGGUUGGAAAUCAUUCAUAGAGUGUAAAGGCAUAAGGGAGCUUGACUGCGAGACCUACAAGUCGAGCAGGGUCGAAAGACGGACUUAGUGAUCCGGUGGUUCCGCAUGGAAGGGCCAUCGCUCAACGGAUAAAAGCUACCCCGGGGAUAACAGGCUUAUCUCCCCCAAGAGUUCACAUCGACGGGGAGGUUUGGCACCUCGAUGUCGGCUCAUCGCAUCCUGGGGCUGUAGUCGGUCCCAAGGGUUGGGCUGUUCGCCCAUUAAAGCGGUACGCGAGCUGGGUUCAGAACGUCGUGAGACAGUUCGGUCCCUAUCCGUCGUGGGCGUAGGAAAUUUGAGAGGAGCUGUCCUUAGUACGAGAGGACCGGGAUGGACAUACCUCUGGUGUACCAGUUGUCGUGCCAACGGCAUAGCUGGGUAGCUAUGUGUGGACGGGAUAAGUGCUGAAAGCAUCUAAGCAUGAAGCCCCCCUCAAGAUGAGAUUUCCCAACUUCGGUUAUAAGAUCCCUCAAAGAUGAUGAGGUUAAUAGGUUCGAGGUGGAAGCAUGGUGACAUGUGGAGCUGACGAAUACUAAUCGAUCGAAGACUUAAUCAA